rnacentral:rRNA from 1 species
GGUCUGGCGGCGAGUGGCGAACGGGUGAGUAAUGUAUCGGAACGUGCUUAGUAGCGGGGGAUAACUACUCGAAAGAGUAGCUAAUACCGCAUACGCCCUACGGGGGAAAGGGGGGGAUCGCAAGACCUCUCACUAUUAGAGCGGCCGAUAUCGGAUUAGCUAGUUGGUGAGGUAAAGGCUCACCAAGGCGACGAUCCGUAGCUGGUUUGAGAGGACGACCAGCCACACUGGGACUGAGACACGGCCCAGACUCCUACGGGAGGCAGCAGUGGGGAAUUUUGGACAAUGGGGGAAACCCUGAUCCAGCCAUUCCGCGUGUGCGAUGAAGGCCUUCGGGUUGUAAAGCACUUUUGGCAGGAAAGAAAUCGCACCAAUUAAUACUUGGUGUGGAUGACGGUACCUGCAGAAUAAGCACCGGCUAACUACGUGCCAGCAGCCGCGGUAAUACGUAGGGUGCAAGCGUUAAUCGGAAUUACUGGGCGUAAAGCGUGCGCAGGCGGUUCGGAAAGAGAGGUGUGAAAUCCCAGGGCUCAACCUUGGAACUGCACUUUUAACUACCGAGCUAGAGUAUGUCAGAGGGGGGUGGAAUUCCGCGUGUAGCAGUGAAAUGCGUAGAUAUGCGGAGGAACACCGAUGGCGAAGGCAGCCCCCUGGGAUAAUACUGACGCUCAUGCACGAAAGCGUGGGGAGCAAACAGGAU